AAACGUGGAGGAUCUGGAAUAAGGUCACUCAAGGAGACAGCGUGUGUCCAAGAAGUGAAUGAAAUCCAGUCCUCCAGCCUGCGGCUCAGAUCCAUUCCCUAGACUCCCAUCCAGCCCCUCACUCCCUCGGGAUUCGAUGAGCUUCUGACUGGUGCAGCAUCAGCAUUGCCAAGAAGAAUAAGGCUUAGUCCCUGUCCUCAAGGAGUGUCCAGUGUAGUAGGAAAGGCAGCAACACCUAUCAAUCAUGUAUGUCUAGGAGAAGGUGACCUGAAUGAAGAUAAAAAAUAACCCAGGAG